rnacentral:ncRNA from 3 species
GAACUUAAGCAUAUCAAUAAGCGGAGGA